rnacentral:rRNA from 1 species
AGUGAACGCUGGCGGUAGGCCUAACACAUGCAAGUCGAACGGCAGCACAGUAAGAGCUUGCUCUUACGGGUGGCGAGUGGCGGACGGGUGAGGAAUACAUCGGAAUCUACUUUUUCGUGGGGGAUAACGUAGGGAAACUUACGCUAAUACCGCAUACGACCUACGGGUGAAAGCAGGGGAUCUUCGGACCUUGCGCGAUUGAAUGAGCCGAUGUCGGAUUAGCUAGUUGGCGGGGUAAAGGCCCACCAAGGCGACGAUCCGUAGCUGGUCUGAGAGGAUGAUCAGCCGCACUGGAACUGAGACACGGUCCAGACUCCUACGGGAGGCAGCAGUGGGGAAUAUUGGACAAUGGGCGCAAGCCUGAUCCAGCCAUACCGCGUGGGUGAAGAAGGCCUUCGGGUUGUAAAGCUCUUUUGUUGGGAAAGAAAAGCAGCAGGUUAAUACCCCGCUGUUCUGACGGUACCCAAAGAAUAAGCACCGGCUAACUUCGUG